AGAAGCUUGGUGCAGUACAAAGG
rnacentral:miRNA from 1 species